AUGGGUCAAAGUCAGAAUGGCGGUCAUGGUCUUGGAGGUGGCAAAGAGGAUGACAGGGACAAGGAAAAAAAAAAAAAACACAAGCCUCCUAUACAGUGAGAGCAGGAAAAGAAGAAAACAAAGGCGCCAGCAAACUGCUCCUGGUGACACUUCACACUCAAUGCCACGUGAAACUACUGAAGUUGGAAAGAUUUAAGGCUGCCUUCUCUUGGAGGAAAAAUGUAUUAGAAAUCAGGAACAGAUGAAACAUGGGAAGAAAAAUAAGAGGAAGAAAGAUCAAAGGCGGAUGAUCCCAGGGGAACCCCAACACCAGUAGGAACCUUGGAAGAGAUCAUUGAUGUCAUAUAACCACGCCGUUGUGUCCACAUCAGAACACUACCUCAGCAUCCUUUCCUUUGUGGACAAGGAUCUGCUGGAACCUGGUUGCUCAGCCCUGUUCAACCACAAGGUACAUGCCAUGAUAGGGGUGCUGAUGAUUGACACAGGUCUUCUUGUCACACUGACGAACAUGGAAAAGGGCCUCCUCCAGGAGACCUGUGCAUGCAUUGGUGAACUGAACAGCCAAAUCCAGGAAAUUAAAGAAUCUGUGGAACUUCCUCUUACCCAUCCUGAAUAUUAUGACGAGAUGUAGAUAAAGUCCCCAAAGGGUAGUAUUCUUUGUGGUUCACCAGGCACAGGUAAAAGCUUGUUGGCCAAAGCAGUAGGAAACCAAACCUCAGCCAUUUUCUUGAGAGUGGUUGGCUCAACACUUAUUCAGAAGCACCUAGGUGAUGGGCCCAAAUUCAUCCAAGAACUGUUUUGAGUUGCUGAAGAACAGGCAACAUAACCCUCCAUUAUGUUUAUAGAUUAAACUGAUGUCAUUGGAACCAAAAAUAUGAUUCAGACUCCGAGGGUGAGAGAGAAAUUCAGUUAACAAUGUCUUAACUCUUGAGCCAGUUGGAUGGAUUUGAUUCAAGAGGGGAUAUGAAAGUUGUUAUGGCAACAAAUCAAGUAGAAACUUUGGAUUCAGCACUUACUAGACCGGGCCACAUUGACGGGAAGAUUGAGGUCUCCCUGCCUGAUGAAAAGCCUAAGAAGCGCGUCUUUCAGAUUCACACAAGCAGGACGGCCAAUCACGUAAGCUUGAAUGACUUGAUCAUAGCAAAGGAUGACCUCUCUGGGGCUGACAUCAAGGCAAUUUAUACAGAAGCUGGCUUGAUGGCCUUGCAAGAAGGCAGCCUUGUAAGAACGCAGAAUGAAAGUAACAAAUGAGGACUUCAAAAAGUCUAAAGAGAAUGUUCUUCAUAAAAAACAGGAAGGCAUCCCUGAGAACUCUAUCUCAAGUAACCCACAGCUGCCUUCAGGAAAGGGACUGUGGGUUCUUUCCAACUGA